CCUCGUUUGUUCAGGGGCUGCCGGCCAGGGCUUCAGGACGUUUCUGCGGCUUUCCCCGCGCGGCCUGGGCUCCCGCGGCUGCUUUUCGGGCCCAUGGGCGCAGCCACUGCGCCAGGCUCAAGGGGGGCGGCCCCGUCAGGGCCCGCCAUCUUGGAAGGCCUUUUUUGCCGGUUCUUCCCGCUGAGGAAGUGUCGCUCAAGACGCUGGCCUAUGAGUUGUGAUUUCUGCCUUUUCCCCUUCCUCCUUGGGCUAAGCCAGACCAGAAAGGGCCCCGUGCGCAACGUGCUUCACAAUCUCUCAGGGAAAGCGGCUAACGUGGCGCUACUCCGCCUCCCCUGUUCCUUACCCUUGGGGCGGCCGCCAUGUUUCCUGAACACAAAAUGGCGACACGUGGUUAGCAUUCGUCGCCAACGAGAAAUUGGGGUCGGCCCGAAAGCUCUAGAAUGCACCCCUCUUCCUCCCCGGGGCCUUCCACCUCCGCGAGUUUUAUGACUUAAAAAAGCCCACAGGCUGGUCUGAAGGUCGGAGGCCUAAUUUUAACGCGUUUUCCUCCCUUUAAUUUGAAACGGGAACGCGAAUGACUGUAAAAUGUGGGCACAAUAUUUAAUCUCUCGCCUUUUUAAAGCUUAAUAGUGGAUAAUAGGGGGGCAGUAUCAAGGGAUAAUUUGGGUCCCCACAGUACCAAAGCAUUUAGAAACCUCUGUUUAAUUUAAGGAAUGAGAUAAGUUACUGCUUUUCUAGACUUCCUAGCAUGGGCUGUUGUGCUGGAGAGAACGAGAGCUACGAAGAGACUACAGUGCCUCUGACUUUUUCAUAGGACAGUUGGCCGAGGAAGACAAACAUAAAGAUGAAGUGCUUAAUUCAAGGUCACACAAUGUCGGGGAUGGACCUCCAGAUUUCCUUACUGACCUGCAUUAUCUUGUGGAUACCUGAGUGAAUUCCACACCACCCAUUUUAUAGAUGAAACCACUGAGACAUGGAGCAAUUGACUGAGUAGUCACUGCCCCACCCCUGCCUGGAGCCUCACACAUGACUCGCCUCCUCUCAGUGACCACAGGUUGGUUGAGGGGUUUAACAAGGCUAAGAAGGUGAGACGUGGUCUUGUAACACAGUGGUUAAGAAUGUGACUUUGGAGCCAGCCUGCUAGGGGCUGAAUUCUGACUCAGCCAUUUACUAACUGUGUGACCUUAGGGAGGAGGACCUGGUUGAUAGAAGAAUUUAUCUCGUAGUCUUAACAUCCACUGUAAUUCCAAACUUUGAGGACGAUAGAGAUCAGUGGGCUUUGACUGCCCAGCAUGCAGUCUCCAUUCUUAGGUGGGUUCCCAAGCCUGUAAAAUGUAAGCCUUAUGCUGCUGAGGGCCAUCUUGCCACCCUGAGGGAAACGCUGCCUGAGAAUGAAACAAGCAUAAGUAAAAGCUGAGCUGUGAGAUGGAGCAAGAUGAAGGCCACAUGACAUCUUUGGAGCACCUGGAUCUAACUGUGCCUUAAGCUAGUCUAACCCUGAACAUUUCAUCAUUUCAUUGACAUGAGCCCAGGUUUUCUUUUUUUUUGGAUGGAGUCUUGCUCUGUCGCCCAGGCUGGAGUGCAGUAGCUCAAUCUCGGCUCACUGCAAGCUCCACCUCCCGGGUUCACGCCAUUCUCCUGCCUUAGCCUCCCAAGUAGCUGGGACAACAGGCGCCCACCACCACUCCCAGCUAAUUUUUUGUAUUUUUAGUAGAGACGGGGUUUUACCAUGUUAGCCGGGAUGGUCUUGAUCUCCUGACCUCAUGAUCCGCCCGCCUCGGCCUCCCAAAGUGCUGGGAUUACAGGUGUGAGCCACUGCACCCAGCCCUCAGGUUUUCCCUUUUUUUACCCCUCCUUUUGAAAAUUUGAUGUGGAAUUUUGCCACCUGCAGCCAGAAGAGUUUUAACUAAUCAGUGCCAUAAAUUUUAUAUAGUUCUCCUUGCAAAAUGUGGAUCAGCCUUUCUCAGCAAAUCCUUUGUCAUAAAGUGCUGAAUUGUAAGUUUGUCAUGAGAAUCACAUGAGAUCAUGCAUGUGAAGAACCUGGCAUUAUCCUCCUCAUAGAAAAAAACCAGUAAAUAUUAACUACAGGAAGCAAGGAAGGAGUGGGGUGAGGGGAAGAAGAAGGGGUACUGAUUUAAAAGAACCCUGGAGUCCUAAGGAUAAUCUAGGAACCCUCAGACCCAAUCCGAUACCCCUAUUCUAAAUGCUCCUAGUGCCCUGUACCUUCCCCUCAUAAGCCUUCAUUAUCAUUGUAAUGAUAUGUUUAUGUAAUAUUUUGAUUAAUGUCUCUCCUUCACUGACCUAGCAGUUCUAGCAGGGCAGUGAUUUUGCUGUGUUGCAUCCCCAGCACCUAGUCUGGUAUGUGGCAUUCAGCAUAUGUUUAUUGAAUGAAUGGCCAUGUGGUUAUUCAGAUCCUCCUUGAUUAUUGGGGUUAGGAUUGUGGCAGAAGUGGCAAAAUCAGGGAGAGUAGUCCCUGUCCCCUCUGUAUCUUAUACACUGCCCACACUCCCAACACACAUACACAUACAGAGAAUUUUGUCUCAAUUAGAUAAUUAACUUCUGCUUGGUUGUAAACCAAACCACUGGUUCUUAAACUUUCAUUGGAUCAUUUUAUUGAAGAAUUAAAUAGUGUGGUUCUGGCCUAAUGUCUGGAAAGCCUUGCAGAGGAGUGGAUUAGGUCUUUGUGAUAAACAGGCAGCCUUCCCUGCUCCUGUGUCUUUAUAAAAUCUAUUUAACUGGAGUAGUCCACCCUCCCUCAGGCUCUUACAGGAAUAUGUUGGAGGCUGUAGGAAGGUGGGAAACCGAGAGGGAAAGGACUGGGCCGCUGGAGACUUCACUCAUUCCCUAGCAAGAAACAAAAGCAGUAAAAGGUGGCCCGAGGACAACCUGAAGCUCACUCCUUCAGCACUUUUGGCUGGAGGUCACUUGUUGGAGCCCCACUCAGAGCUCAGCACACCACCCCACCAGCAGCCUCCUCCUCCCAGCUGAGGCUGCAUUUCAUCCCUUCCCCCAGCCUGCUUUCCCUGAGAUAGGGGAGUGUUUCCCAGGGCCCAUGUGACUUCCACUGGCAAGUGACGAUUACCAAUGGUUUACUAGUCAGUGAAACUACCAAAGGCUUUUGUGCUGUAGUAAUCCUUUUCCUGUUUAAAACUCUGGGGAUUUUCUAAUGUUGCCAAUAGUUUUUCAAGUCAGCAAUUACUGUGUGGAUUAUGUAAUGGCUCGGUAUUAAAAA
ensembl:lncRNA PCBP1-AS1 PCBP1 antisense RNA 1